UACGUAGGUGGCAAGCGUUAUCCGGAUUUACUGGGUGUAAAGGGCGAGUAGGCGGGAUUGCAAGUCAGAUGUGAAAACUAUGGGCUCAACCGAUAGAGUGCAUUUGAAACUGCAGUUCUUGAGUGAUGGAGAGGCAGGCGGAAUUCCUGGUGUAGCGGUGGAAUGCGUAGAUAUCGGGAGGAACACCAGUGGCGAAGGCGGCCUGCUGGACAUUAACUGACGCUGAGGCGCGAAAGCGUGGGGAGCAAACAGG
rnacentral:rRNA from 1 species